AGAGUUUGAUCCUGGCUCAGAUUGAACGCUGGCGGCAUGCUUUACACAUGCAAGUCGAACGGCAGCGCGGGGCAACCUGGCGGCGAGUGGCGAACGGGUGAGUAAUAUAUCGGAACGUACCCAAGAGUGGGGGAUAACGCAGCGAAAGUUGCGCUAAUACCGCAUACGAUCUACGGAUGAAAGCAGGGGACCGCAAGGCCUUGUGCUCCUGGAGCGGCCGAUAUCUGAUUAGCUAGUUGGUGAGGUAAAGGCUCACCAAGGCGACGAUCAGUAGCUGGUCUGAGAGGACGACCAGCCACACUGGAACUGAGACACGGUCCAGACUCCUACGGGAGGCAGCAGUGGGGAAUUUUGGACAAUGGGCGCAAGCCUGAUCCAGCAAUGCCGCGUGAGUGAAGAAGGCCUUCGGGUUGUAAAGCUCUUUUGUCAGGGAAGAAACGGCUGCGGCUAAUAUCCGCGGCUAAUGACGGUACCUGAAGAAUAAGCACCGGCUAACUACGUGCCAGCAGCCGCGGUAAUACGUAGGGUGCAAGCGUUAAUCGGAAUUACUGGGCGUAAAGCGUGCGCAGGCGGUUUUGUAAGUCUGACGUGAAAUCCCCGGGGCUUAACCUGGGAAUUGCGUUGGAGACUGCAAGGCUAGAAUCUGGCAGAGGGGGGUAGAAUUCCACGUGUAGCAGUGAAAUGCGUAGAGAUGUGGAGGAACACCGAUGGCGAAGGCAGCCCCCCUGGGUCAAGAUUGACGCUCAUGCACGAAAGCGUGGGGAGCAAACAGGAUUAGAUACCCUGGUAGUCCACGCCCU
rnacentral:rRNA from 1 species